UACGGAGGGUGCAAGCGUUAUCCGGAUUCACUGGGUUUAAAGGGUGCGUAGGCGGGCCGGUAAGUCAGUGGUGAAAUCUUCGAGCUUAACUCGGAAACUGCCGUUGAUACUAUCUGUCUUGAAUACCGUGGAGGUGAGCGGAAUAUGUCAUGUAGCGGUGAAAUGCUUAGAUAUGACAUAGAACACCAAUUGCGAAGGCAGCUCGCUACACGAAUAUUGACGCUGAGGCACGAAAGCGUGGGGAUCAAACAGG
rnacentral:rRNA from 1 species